rnacentral:rRNA from 1 species
UACGUAGGGUGCAAGCGUUGUCCGGAAUUAUUGGGCGUAAAGAGCUCGUAGGCGGCUUGUCGCGUCUGCUGUGAAAUCCCGAGGCUCAACCUCGGGUCUGCAGUGGGUACGGGCAGGCUAGAGUGCGGUAGGGGAGAUUGGAAUUCCUGGUGUAGCGGUGGAAUGCGCAGAUAUCAGGAGGAACACCGAUGGCGAAGGCAGAUCUCUGGGCCGUAACUGACGCUGAGGAGCGAAAGCAUGGGGAGCGAACAGG